GUGAGUAACACGUGAGCAACCUGCCCCUGACUCUGGGAUAAGCGCUGGAAACGGCGUCUAAUACUGGAUACGAGUAGCGACCGCAUGGUCAGUUACUGGAAAGAAUUUUGGUUGGGGAUGGGCUCGCGGCCUAUCAGCUUGUUGGUGAGGUAAUGGCUCACCAAGGCGUCGACGGGUAGCCGGCCUGAGAGGGUGACCGGCCACACUGGGACUGAGACACGGCCCAGACUCCUACGGGAGGCAGCAGUGGGGAAUAUUGCACAAUGGGCGAAAGCCUGAUGCAGCAACGCCGCGUGAGGGAUGACGGCCUUCGGGUUGUAAACCUCUUUUAGCAGGGAAGAAGCGAAAGUGACGGUACCUGCAGAAAAAGCACCGGCUAACUACGUGCCAGCAGCCGCGGUAAUACGUAGGGUGCAAGCGUUAUCCGGAAUUAUUGGGCGUAAAGAGCUCGUAGGCGGUUUGUCGCGUCUGCUGUGAAAUCCGGAGGCUCAACCUCCGGCCUGCAGUGGGUACGGGCAGACUAGAGUGCGGUAGGGGAGAUUGGAAUUCCUGGUGUAGCGGUGGAAUGCGCAGAUAUCAGGAGGAACACCGAUGGCGAAGGCAGAUCUCUGGGCCGUUACUGACGCUGAGGAGCGAAAGGGUGGGGAGCAAACAGGCUUAGAUACCCUGGUAGUCCACCCCGUAAACGUUGGGAACUAGUUGUGGGGUCCAUUCCACGGAUUCCGUGACGCAGCUAACGCA
rnacentral:rRNA from 1 species